UGCGGAGGGAGCUAGCGUUGUUCGGAAUUACUGGGCGUAAAGCGCACGUAGGCGGCUUUGUAAGUUAGAGGUGAAAGCCCGGGGCUCAACCCCGGAAUUGCCUUUAAGACUGCAUCGCUUGAAUCCGGGAGAGGUGAGUGGAACUGCGAGUGUGGAGGUGAAAUUCGUAGAUAUUCGCAAGAACACCAGUGGCGAAGGCGGCUCACUGGCCCGGUACUGACGCUGAGGCACGAAAGCGUGGGGAGCAAACAGG
rnacentral:rRNA from 1 species